ensembl:snoRNA
CCUCCUUUUCUUGGCAGGGGCCGGGCGUGCAGUCCCGGUCCCCGUUAUGUACAGAGGCAGAGGGAGCGUACUCCGGUUCCCGCGGUGUCAUGUCUUCGUUGCCAGCAGCUGCCUAUCUUCUGGUUCUAUCCUCAAAGCUGGGACAAGG